rnacentral:lncRNA from 1 species
GGCAACGCUGCGGCCCCGCCCACGUCAUGGCGCCUGAGGAGAACGCGGGUACCAAACUCUUGCUGCAGAGUUUCGAGCGCCGCUUCCUAGCGGCGCGCACACUGCGCUCCUUCCCCUGGCAGGUGGGCGGCGGGGCGAGCGGAGAGGCCUGCGGGGCUUGCGGAAGUCCAGGGGCAGACGGGAUGGGUCUCCCUGCUGAAACCCCCGGCGCUCCUGCCACCACGAGGCUGUCCACACGGAGCUUUUGGACGAGCUGUACGAGGCGCUGGCAGAGACCCUGAUGGCCAAGGAGUCCACCCAGGGCCACUGGAGCUAUUUGCUGCCCUCGGAAGGCUCGGUCACACUCUCCGAGCACAGCCAUCAUCUCCCACGGUACCACAGGCCUGGUCACAUGGGACGCUGCCCGCUACCUUGCAGAAUGGGCCAUCAAGAACCUGGCAGCCUUCACUAACAGGUGACCUCGGGGCACAGGGCAGCCGCCAUCUACCUUGCAGAAUGGGUCAUUGAGAACCUGGCAGCCUUCACUAACAGGUGACCUCGGGGCACAGGGCAGGGCACCGAGGCAGGCUUACCCUGGUGCAGUCGAAGACACGGUCCCCUUUCCUCCCGCCAGGACUGUCCUAGAGCUUGGCAGUGGCGCCGGCCUUACAGGCCUGUCCAUCUGCAAGAUGUGCCACCCCCGGACAUACAUCUUCAGCGACUGUCACAGCCGGGUCCUCGAGCAGCUCCGAGGGAAUGUCCUUCUCAAUGGCCUCUCAUUAGAGGCAGACAUCACUGCCAACUUAGAUAGCCCCAGGGUGACAGUGGCCCAGCUGGACUGGGAUGUAGCGACGGUCCAUCAGCUCUCUGCCUUCCAGCCAGAUGUUGUCAUUACAGCAGGUAAUGCCCAGCCCCGGGCAUCCUGUGCAGGCGGUGUCCUUGCAGCUCUACCCAGCUCUUGGCUCUGGGAAAAGGGAACAGUGGAUGCUGUCGGGCAUGGACAUGAUGGGGCUUCCAGAAGAGUUACUCCGGGCCUCCAGGGGGACAUCAAAGGACAGGGGUGCCUCUUAAGGUGACCUUCAAGCCACAGCCCUCUUGUUGGAGACAGGCAUACUCCCGUUACAGUCGUCACCACACGGCUCUGUUCCAGAGCCAUGCCCUGUGUCCUUCAGAGACCACAGGAGGAAAACAACCACUUCUGGGAUGAGGACAGGGCCCUUGGGAGAAGGUGGUGUUUGGCUGGGCCACCAAAAACCCCUCACCCCUGCCAGCACACUCAGUCCCCUCUCUGGUGGAACAGAGCUCUGCCUGUGGUCCUGGGUCCCAGCCCUGAAACCCACAGGUCCAGCGGUGGCCAGGGACAGAGGCCCACCCCUGCAAGCCAGCAGACCAAUCGGCAGACACCUGAAACACGAAGUUCACGGUAGGGUCAGGCUUUCUGCCAUUCAAAGCCCUCUAGAUAGGCCCAGAACCAGAGCUGGUUUUUUAAGGAACACCAGUGAGUCUGGAGAUUUUUUUCUUUUGCUUCGGUCUUUUGCAGCUUUCUCUACUAAGGGUUCUCCUUUUUCACCCAAGUAAUUGCCCUUCCAUCUAAUGGCCCAAAUGGUCAAAUGGCAUCUAAUAGUCUCAUAUGAACGCUGCCUCUCUGGCCUCACCCUGCUGCUGAGGUCAGCAUGAACUGGAACUUUCCACUUGUCCCUUUCAGUAACCUGAAGCUUUCACCGUAGACGUGCUGUAUUGCCCAGAAGCCAUCGUGUCCCUGGUCGGGGUCCUGCGGAGGCUGGCUGCCUGCUGGGAGCACCAGCGGGCUCCUGAGGUCUACAUGGCCUUUACCGUCCGCAACCCAGAGACGUGCCAGGUGUUCACCACCGAGCUAGGCUGGGCUGGGAUCAGAUGGGAAGCGGAAGCUCAUCAUGACCAGAAACUGUUUCCCUAUGGAGAGCACUUGGAGAUGGCAAUGCUGAACCUCACACUGUAGGACUCAUACACGACUCCAACGGGAUUGUUAGAAUCAAAUCACUCUCGUGGGAAGAAUUUUUAUAUGGGAAAGCGGAUAAAACUUUCAUUGGACUGGAAUGUUUGGAGAAUGUUAAAUUCCAAAUCAGGAACCACAAUCUGCCCUCUAAUAAGACAUCGGCUAUCUAAGCAUGUGGGUGCCCCCUUUCUGCCAGCAGUUCUGGUUCUUAAGAAAAUCACCAUAAAUCAGACAUGAAAAUUCUGGCUCCAAAAAUAGCAUUUUCUUUGUGCAAAUAAAAACGUGUGUAUCAAG